UACGGGGGGAGCAAGCGUUGUUCGGAUUUACUGGGCGUAAAGGGCGCGUAGGCGGCCACCGCAAGUCGGUUGUGAAAUCUCUGGGCUUAACCCAGAAAGGUCAACCGAUACUGCGGGGCUAGAGUGCAGAAGGGGCAACUGGAAUUCUCGGUGUAGCGGUGAAAUGCGUAGAUAUCUGAAGGAACAUCAGUGGCGAAAGCGACUUCCUGGACCAAUACUGACGCUCAUGUGCGAAAGCCAGGGGAGCAAACGGG
rnacentral:rRNA from 1 species